rfam:Gossypium hirsutum cultivar TM-1 chromosome 6, whole genome shotgun sequence
AUUCCAUGAUGAGGGCACUUUUGUAAUAAUUCUUUGUACCUUUUCCAUCCUCAUACAAGGAAUCAUCAUCCAUUUUUUGGAAGGCAGUGAUCUUAUUUCUCAACGU